GUGAUCGAAGGGUAUGGUUGGCAUGGAAUUGAAUUUCAUCUGUCUAUGGGAAUUGUAAACAAGGUUGCCAUCACGAAAGCCAAGGUGGAUUUCUCCCGUGUGCCUGCCCCCUUCCGUCAUUGCUGUGAAUGGGCUGGACGGAGGAGGGGCUGGCGAAAAUGAUGAUGAACCAGUGCUGGUAUCCCUGUCUGCGGCACCCAGCCCCCAGAGCGAAGCUGUUGCCAAUGAACUGCAGGAGCUCUCCUUGCAGCCCGAGCUGACCCUAGGGGUCUAAUCACAGCUGUAGUCACUGGCCUACGACAGAGCCACAGCAACGUGGGAUCCGAGCUGCGUCUGCGACCUACACCACAGCUCACAGCAACGCCGGAUCGUUAACCCACUGAGCAAGGCCAGGGAUCGAACCCACAACCUCAUGGUUCCUAGUCAGAUUUGUUAACCACUGCACCACGAUGGGAACUCCAGUAUUUCUUAUAAACUAGAGAAACAACAAGUAUAGGUGGUCAUUGUUAACCCAGCAUUUCCUGCCUAGGUUAUCAUAAUUGCUUUCUAAUUUGUCUUCCUACUUCUUUGCUUCUCCCUCCCUUUUCUGUAAAUUCAUUAGUUCAGCAAAUAUUUAUUAUCACUGUAUUAUAAAUUGUGCUAAGAUUAGUGAUUAAGUGGUAAACCAGCCUGUGUUGUUAGGAAACUUUCCCUAUCCCAUGCCUUGUUGGAGUAAUCUUCCAGAACUCCCUGGCGGAAUACUUUUUCAGUGACUGACUUACAGAAUAAAAACAAAGUAAGUUUCUGGAUGUGUUUUAUGAGGCUUUUCAGGACCUAGUUGCUUUCUGUUUUGUUUUUUUUUUUUUUAAGCUUUUCUCAUUAUUCCUUUAGUCCUAGUCUUUGCUUUAACCUAUUUAACUGCUUUUAGUACAAACCAUGUACUAUUACUUCAGACUUUUGUUAAUUAAAAAAAGUAUACUUUGUCAUGAAGUAUUUAAGAUUUUUAAAAGGUAUAAAGAGUAAUGCAGCAAAUACCUAUGUACCCAUGUACCAUACAACUCAUGUACACUCCCUGAGUCUUCACCCACCCCAAGUGGUAAUUGCUACCCUGAAUUUGGUAUUUCAUUGCAAGUGUUUCUCUAUUUUUUUUUUUUUUUUACUGUAUGAAUAUAUUCCUAAGCAAUAUAUGUAUCUCAUUUUGUAAACUAUAUAUAUUUAUAUAUCAAUUGGAGAAAUAACUUUAUUGUAUAAUAGUCUUUAACAACUUGUACUUAUUGUUGAAUAUUUAUUUUCCCUGUGAGUUAUUAACAUUACUCUCUGAUUUCUUCUAAUCUAGUCUACGAAUCACCGUUUAUUGAACAGUUCUACUUCUCCCUAGUGAUCUUUAAUGUCACUUUUAUUUUGUUUCUCUGUGUGCAGGAGUUAGUUUUUGGGCUCUCUGUUCUGUUUCACUGGUCUUUCUCUUCAUCUCUGUGUCAUAUUACCUCAUUUUAGUUGUUAUUACUUACUAAUUCUAUCUGUUAGGAUUGGGGCUCUCCUUGCCUUUUUCUUCUUCUAAGUUGUUUUGGCUAAUCUUACCCUUUUAAUUUUCCAUCAUUUUAGAAUCAGCUUGUGAAGUUCUCCAAAAAAACCUUUCCUUCAACAUUUUAUUAUGAAAAACUUCAAACAUAUGAUGAAGUAGAGGUUUUAUUUUAUUUAUUUAUUUUUUUGUGGAGGUACCAAGUUUAUUUGUUUUUUUUAUUUUUAUUUUUGUCUUUUUGCCUUUUCUAGGGCUGCUCCUGCGGCAUAUGGAGGUUCCCAGGCUUGGGGUCUAAUCAGAGCUGUGGUGCUGGCCUACACCAGAGCCACAGCAGACACCAGAGCCACAGCAGAAGUAGAGGUUUUAAAAUAAACACCUUUAUAUCCACCACUUAGAUUCUACCAUUAACACUUUAUAAUAUUUGCUUUAUAAUAGAUCUGUCCAUUCCUUUGUCCAUCAUCCACCUUAUUUUUUUGAAGGCAUUUUAAAGUAAAUUGCAAGCACGGAUACAUUUCCGUUUUAUUGCAGCAUAGUAUUGAUACAGAAUAACGCACAAAUUGUAAGCAUUGUGGCUGUUGAGUUAUCAUGGAGUAAAUACACCUGCGUGUAAUUACAACUUAAUGAAGAAAUAAAACAUUUGCAGCACCCCAGAAUCACCCCUUUUGCUUCUUCCUGAUCCGUAGCCCUCCUUCCUGCCCAGAGGAAACUGCUGUCCUGACUUUUAACACAAUAGGUUAAUUUUGCUUGAUUCUAAACUUGAUAUAGAUGGAGUUAUGCUGUAUGGUAUCCUGUUGGUGGCUUCUUUUAUGUUUUUGAAAUUCAUUUGUGUUGAAUUGUGUGUAGCUAUAGUUUAUUUUCUGUUGCUAUAAUCUAUCCAUUUUAUGAAUGUAAUUUGUCAGUUUUUACUUUUGAUGGAUAUUUGGUUUGUUUUAGCUUGGGUCUAUUCUGAAUCAUUCCGCUGUGAAAUUUUUUUUUUUUUUUUUUUUUUGGCUGCUUUGAGGCAUAUGGAGUUCACAGGCCAGGGGGCAGAUCCCAGCCACAAACGUGACCUAAGCUGCAACUGUAGCAGUGCUGAUCCUUAACCUACUGUGCCAAGCCAGGGAUCGAACCCACGUCCCAGAGCUCCAAAGACACUGCUGAUCCCGUUGCACCACAGUGGGAACUACUGUGAAAUUCUUGUACAUGUCUUUGGGUGUACUUGUUGAGAUUUUGAUUUGAAACAUCAUUUAUAGAUUAAUGGGGAGAAUAUACAUUUUAAAUAUUGGGUCUUUCUGUCUAUGAGUUAGGUUUAUCUCUCCAAUUAAAUAGGCCGUCUUUAGGAGCUCCUUUGUGGCACAGUAGGUUAAGGAUCCACUUGUUGUGACUACAGCAGCUUGGGUCACUGCUGUAAUGUGGGUUCAAUUCCUGGCCCAGGAAUUUCCACAUGCCAUGAGUGUGGCCAAAAAUAAAAUAAAAUAGGCCUCCUUUAAUAUCUAUCCACAGAUUUUAUAAUUUUUUCCAUAAAGGUCAUGCACAUAAUUUACUAGGUUUAUUCUCUAGUAUCUUUUUUGGAGGUAGACACUGUAAGUAGUAUAUUUUUAUAAUUUUUUUCUUUUGGCCACAACAUGCUGGAGUUCCCAGGCCAGGGACUGAAUUCGCGCCACAGCAGUGAUGCGAGCAGUAAUGAUGUCAGAUGCUCAGCCUCGACCCUCAACCCUAGGCCACCAGGAAACUCCCUAUAAAAUAUUUUUUGGCUGUUUUGAUACUGAGGGAUAGAAAUGCCAAACCUUUGCAAAACUCCAAUCACUUUUCUACAGCUCUGCUCUCUAUUUGGGAACCCACCCUCACCUCUGCCCCCACCCCAUGCCUUCUUGCCAACUCUCACUUGGUCCUUCGUGUUCUUUUCAGACAUCCCUCCCUUUGAGAAGCCUGUCCUCACCCAUGUUCAGGGUUAGGUGUCCUCUUUUGCUUUGCCCAAUUGCCCUUUGUCAUUAUACUUCAUCACUCUGUGUUGUAACUGGAAUUCUCCACUCAGCACCAUGACUGGGGCCUUUGAACUCUGAAAUCAGACCUGUUACACUCCUCUCAGAACCCUUCAAUGCCUUCCCAUGGGGCAUAUGAUGGAAUAAUAGUUCUUUUUUUUUUUUUUGGUCUUUUUGCCAUUUCUUGGGCCACUCCCGAGGCAUAUGGAGGUUCCCAGGCUAGGUGUCGAAUCAGAGCUGAAGCUGCUGGCCUUCACCAGGGCCAUAGCAACGCGGGAUCCGAGCCGCAUCUGCAACCUACACCACAGCUCACGGCAACGCCGGAUCGUUAACCCACCGAGCAAGGCCAGGGAUCGAACCCGCAACCUCAUGGUUCCUAGUUGGAUUCGUUAACCACUGCGCCACGACAGGAACUCCAAUAGUUCUUAUAACAUGGUCCUGGUAUCACCUCUGACCUCUGUUCCCCAGCUCACUCUACUCUGUUCCAGCCACAUUGACUUUCUUGGUGUUCCUUGAACAUAUCGAGUAUGCUCCUGCCCCAGGGCCUUGGUACUUGCCUUACUGUGGUACUGAUGUUCCUACACAAAUGUCAUUUUCUCUGGGAGGCUUUUCCUGACUAUUUUAUCUAAAAUAGUACCUCCCAUUACUCUCUGUCCUGCUUUGUUUUUCCUCUGAGUACCUCUCAUCUGUGUGUGUGUUUGUACUGUGUGUGUAUGUAUAUAUGUUUAUGGUCUGUAUUUCAUGAGGCCAGAAACUUUAUUUUGUUCAUGGUGUAUAUUCAACUCCUGGCUCAUAGUGGACACCCAGUGAAUGUUUAUUGAAUAAAUAGGUGAAUGAUUUACUUGAUUCAUCCACUAAGAAGUAAGAGCAGUGUUUUUACGUCUAUAAUGGGAAACGUAGUGGAAACUCAAGCGUUUUUUGUUUUGGGAAAUAGUGAACACUCAAGUUUUUUGGUAUUUUUUUUCCCAUUUCUAAUUUCUAUACUUUCCCUCCAAGAUAGCAGAAAGUUCCGCUUAUUUAUGUGCUAAGGGGAAAGAGAGAGGGAAGAGCUGAAAUUGGGAAAGGAGAGAGGAUAACUGAUGGAGCAAGGUUCCUGGGAGAUGCCAAAAGAUGGAAUCCAAAGAUAGUGGCUCUGCCUUGAGCAGGAGUAAGGACCAGCAUUCCUCUGGGAUAGGAGGAAUGACAGUGAAGGUGAGGACAGAUAGCAGACAACACAACUGUCCUCUCUUGGGCAGGAAGUGGAGACAAUUGGUGCCGACAGCUGUGAUGGUCUCAGUGGAACAGAGGGCAGCUGUUGCUCUUGGGGCAGAGGUGUUGGUGUAUCUUCAGCCUUUCCCUCUCAGCUCUUUGGCAUAGAAAUCAACUGAAUUAUCUUCCCAUUUUGAACAACAGCGGCUCUCUAACCUUCCCUUUGUGGUCAAGCUCCUGAAAGAGCAGUUUUCAAGUCACCGUGUUUUACUUUCCCAAAUUCCAAAGACUUUAUUGCAUCCUCACUUCUGUCCCUCCCUCUCUUCAGAAACCGCCACUGCUUUGGGUUGUAGAUUGGAAAAGAACUCUAGUCGGUUUGACCCCUCUGUAACAUUUAACCUGGUUGGCCACCCCUCUGACCUGGACCUUCCCUCUGCUGCUGUCUGUGACCCUACUCUUUACUGGCUUUACUUGGUCUUUCCAGCCAGUCCCAUUUCUGCUCAGAUCUUUUGCUCUCUUUGUCUACUCACCUCUUUAAGUUUGUUACACCCCAGGGUUCAGCUCUAGGACUUCCUUACUUCUUACUCUAUAUCUUUACCUUGAGUGGUUUUCCCCAGAACUCUGGCUCUAACCACCAUUAUAUGCUGCUGAUGCCCUGUUACAUCUCCAGGGCAAGUAUCUGGCCUGAGCUCCAGACUCAUUUGCUGGGCUGUCUCUUGAACCCCUGCCCUGGGUGUGCCACAGACUCAGAGCUAAACUCAUCAGCUUACUGCGUUCCUGCUUAAUUCUUUCUUCAUUGUAGGAAUUGCCACCAUCUUCUACCCACAUGUUCACACCAGGGGGUUGCUUUGCUUUGUUUUCUUUCUGAAUGAAAACCUUAAGAAUUUUGUUUUAUAAUCAGCUAAAGUGUAGGAAAAAAGAAAAUAAAAAUUCCUCAUAAUUAUGCAGUUCAGUUAUAGUCAGUGGCAGUAUUUAAUAUAUUUUCUCUCAGUUUUUAUUUUUGUUUACUUUUGUUCAAAAUUCAUUUACUUUUAUGCAUCUUUACUUUGUAUAAAUUGUUUUCAUGAGAUUUGCUUUAUCAUUCAAUUGUUUUUAAAAACAUUUUUUUCUCUGCUUGAUAUUUGUUUUUGUUUAAAUUUUAUUGGAGUAUAGUUGACUUACAAUAUAUUGAUUUCAGAUAUACAGCGAAGUGACUCAGUUAUCUAUAUACAUAUAUCCAUUCUUUUUCAGUUUGCUUGAUAUUUGAGUAGUGUAUGAAUGACAUUUAGCCAGUCUCAUGUGAGACUCUUACCUUUUUAUUUUUUUAUGUUAUAAAUAAUACUGCAGUAAACACCUUGGUGCAGGUGAUUGUAGGACAAGCUCCCAGAAGCAGAUGAAAAGAUAAGGACAUAAAGAACACUUUGUCCUUCUGAUUGCAAAAGUAGCAUGUUUGGGUAUGAAGUUUUCUAUUUAUUUAUUUUUUUUAUUUUGUUUUUUUAGGGCCAUACUCGCAGCAUAUGGAGGUUCCCAGGCUAGGGGUUGAAUCAGAGCUGUAGCUGCUGGCCUACACCACAGCCACAGCAACACCAGAUCUGAGCUGCAUCUGUGACCUAUACCACAGCUCAUGUCAACGCUGGAUCCUUAACCCUCUCAGCGAGGCCAGGAAUCAAACUUGCAACCUCAUGGUUCCUAGUUGGAUUUGUUUCUGCUGUGCAUGACAGGAAUACCGGAAGUUUUUAAUUUUUAAAAAUCGUUAUUUCCAAAUUGUCCUCCAGAAAGAUUAUAAUAUGCUAUUUUUGGAAGUAAUUUUUUGCUCCAUCUCCUUUCUGUCUCCUCUGUGUUUCCUCCCAGCCAUCAGUCACCAAUUUUUGUAGAUUCUGCAAUGCUUAUAUCUACUGAAUUCAUCCUUUUCUUGCCAUCUUACAGCUGCCACUUAGUUCAGAUUCUUAGUAAUGUCAUACAUGGAUUUCUGCUAGGAUGGCCUUCUAACUGGUCUCUCUUUGUUUCUAAUCUUGUCCCUCUGUCCACUGGGAUGACUGAGGUUGCUGCUCUCCUGCUUGAAAUCAAUUAGUGGUUCCCCAUUUCCUCCCCUUAGACUCUACAUCUUGGCAAACCUUCAGAGCCAGCUCUGCCCUGCCCCUUAUCUCUCAGAAAAAGAUUUGGAAUUUCCCAUAAGAGAUACACUUUCACAUCUCAGUUCCACUUCAUGUCCCCCUUUUUCCCUUUUUUCUUUUUGGCUGUACCCAUAACAUGUAGAAGUUUCCAGGACGGGGAUUGAACCCACAUCACAGCAACCUGAGCCACUGCAGUGACAAUGCUGGAUCCUUAACCCACUGCACCGCAGGGGAAUUCUCAGGUCCUGUUUCUUCUUCCUGGAAUGACCUUGCUUCUCCUCUUCUGGGUAACAUUUCUGUGUAGUCAAGAAGCAGAGGUAGGUGCUGCUUCUUGUAGUACUUCUACCUCAGAUUCCAACUUAGGUUAGGGGUUUAUAAUGAUCACAUUUGACUAGAUGAGAAGCUUUGUGAAAUCAGGGAUUGUGUCUGUCUUAUUUAUUGUGGUAUCGUUAGUGCUGAGCCAAAAACUUUAGUGUGCUAAUGAAUCAGCAAGGGUGCUUGUUAAAUGCAGAUUCAGAUUCUGUAGAUCUGGUGAGGCCUGAGAUUCUGCAUCUCUAACCAGCAUCUAGGUGAUUGCUGGUGCUGUUGGUCUGAGGUCAGCAUUUUGAUAGCAAGAUCUUAAGAGUAUAGUGUUUGAUAAAUGUUUGUUGAAUGUAUGUGCAAAUGAAUGAAUGGUGAAAGAACUAUUAAUUCACUGAAACAUUUAUUUCUUACAUUUAGGCAAUUAAGAAAAGAGUGAUCAUUGACUCUUUCUGGACAGAAAAGAAAAAACUUGAAAAGAAAAAAAUUAAACAAUUCAUGGUUUAGAUUAUUUGAAACUAAGACUUUCUGUGUCCAUCCCUGUAUAGGUGAAGUAUUUUGUGGAGUAAUUCUUUUAUUCUCUUAAUUAGUGGUAAAACAUUUAGACCAGAAGUUUUAAGUAACUUUUUUUUUAAAGUUGAAGAUCUCUGUACAUUAGAGAUUUUAUUUAUAAGUCCAGUGUGUAAAACAGCUGCUCUGGUUGAAUGAAAUCUGAAUGGAGACGCCAGAACCCCCCUUACUUGGCAUCCUGCCUCUUAGGCUGCUCUCGAAAGAGCACAAGUUGAAAACUUCUGAUUUAGAUCAUCUAUCUUAGUUGGAGCUGUGUUUGAGCCAACCUCUAUGGUUGCUAGAAUGGUUUCCUAACUGCCAGGAGCCCUCAUUAAUUGUGCGCAUGCUUCUAAGAGAAUAUGGAUACUUGAAACUAACAGACAAAUGGAACGGUGUGUACAACAUAAUGAUCACAUUUUGAUAGGAGAAAAUAAACCCCCAGAUUGAAAUUGUAUUCAAUAUUGGAAAGGCAACCGUGGUGAAAUACUGGUAUUAGAACAACGCUGAAGGGGAGGACAGUGACUUAACAAAGAAAUAAUCUAUAAAGGAGUUCCCAUGGUGGCACAGGGGAAGCGAUCCAACUAGGAACGAUGAGGUUGUGGGUUUGAUCCCUGGCCUCGCUCAGUGGGUUAACGAUCCAGCGUUGCCAUGAGCUGUGGUGUAGGUUGCAGAUGUGGCUUGGAUCUGGCGUGGCUGUGGUGUAGGCCAGCAGCUGUAGCUCCGAUUAGACCCCUAGCCUGAGAGCCUCCACAUGCUGUGAGUGCGGCCCUAAGAAGCAAAAAAAAAAUUGUAUAAGAAGUUUGAUGCUUACAGAAAAAUACCUUAUAUGGUGGAAUGUAUGUCAAUGGCCAGAAAUAUUAAUUGCUUAGCAGAAAUCCUUAAAAUAGCUGUCAAAAUCAGAUUCUGUUAUAAGGAGAAAAUGGAAAUUAUUGAUAAAGAAAACUAGGAAGCUGUGUCCCUGGUGAAACUUCAUACUGUCUUCUUUUUUUUAUUCCAUCCAGCAGCCAUCAGGUGAAUGUCUAGACAGGGGCAGUACUGUUAGUAUCUAGUUGCAGUGCUUUCCUGCCCAUAAUUGGCUUUUCUCUUUGUGCACCUGAAUGGUGCUUCUUUCUGUCACAAAAAGAAGGCUGUAUGUACUGCUGAAAAAAAAAAAAAA
rnacentral:lncRNA from 1 species